rnacentral:rRNA from 1 species
UUGGAGGGCAAGUCUGGUGCCCGCAGCCGCGGUAAUUCCAGCUCCAAUAGCGUAUAUUAAAGUUGUUGCAGUUAAAAAGCUCGUAGUUGAAUUUCGGGGUUCUACCGUUGGUCGGGCAAUAGUCUGUACCGGCGUGUAGAAUUUCUACCUUCUGGGGAACUAUCAUGUUAUUUAUUUAGCGUGGUAGGAAACCAGGACCUUUACCUUGAAAAAAUUAGAGUGUUCAAAGCAGGCUUACGUCUGAAUACAUUAGCAUGGAAUAAUAAAAUAGGACGGUGGUCCUGUUUUGUGGUUU